rfam:Alligator mississippiensis ScZkoYb_76, whole genome shotgun sequence.
GACCAUGUGGCCUAAUGGAUAAGGUGUCUGACUUUGGAUCAGAAGAUUGCAGGUUCAAAUCCUGCUGUGGUUG